AAAGCGCACGUAGGCGGCUUUGUAAGUAAGAGGUGAAAGCCCAGAGCUCAACUCCGGAAUUGCCUUUUAGACUGCAUCGCUUGAAUCAUGGAGAGGUCAGUGGAAUUCCGAGUGUAGAGGUGAAAUUCGUAGAUAUUCGGAAGAACACCAGUGGCGAAGGCGGCUGACUGGACAUGUAUUGACGCUGAGGUGCGAAAGCGUGGGGAGCAAACAGGAUUAGAUACCCGAGU
rnacentral:rRNA from 1 species